GGUAGCAUGGCCGAGCGGUCUAAGGCGCUGGUUUAAGGCACCAGUCAUUUCGAUGGCGUGGGUUCGAAUCCCGCUGCUGCAA
rnacentral:tRNA from 1 species